UUAGACGAAUCAUCUGGAAAGAUGAAUCAAAGAAGGUAAUAAUCCUGUAGUCGAAAAUGUUGUCUCUCUUGAGUGGAUCCUGAGUACGACGGAGCACGUGAAAUUCCGUCGGAAUCUGGGAGGACCAUCUCCUAAGGCUAAAUACUCUCUAGUGACCGAUAGUGAACCAGUACCGUGAGGGAAAGGUGAAAAGCACCCCGGAAGGGGAGUGAAAUAGAACCUGAAACCGUGUGCUUACAAGUAGUCAGAGCCCGUUAAUGGGUGAUGGCGUGCCUUUUGUAGAAUGAACCGGCGAGUUACGAUUUGAUGCAAGGUUAAGCAGUAAAUGUGGAGCCGUAGCGAAAGCGAGUCUGAAUAGGGCGUUUAGUAUUUGGUCGUAGACCCGAAACCAGGUGAUCUACCCUUGGUCAGGUUGAAGUUCAGGUAACACUGAAUGGAGGACCGAACCGACUUACGUUGAAAAGUGAGCGGAUGAACUGAGGGUAGCGGAGAAAUUCCAAUCGAACCUGGAGAUAGCUGGUUCUCUCCGAAAUAGCUUUAGGGCUAGCCUCAAGUGAUGAUUAUUGGAGGUAGAGCACUGUUUGGACGAGGGGCCCCUCUCGGGUUACCGAAUUCAGACAAACUCCGAAUGCCAAUUAAUUUAACUUGGGAGUCAGAACAUGGGUGAUAAGGUCCGUGUUCGAAAGGGAAACAGCCCAGACCACCAGCUAAGGUCCCAAAAUAUAUGUUAAGUGGAAAAGGAUGUGGCGUUGCCCAGACAACUAGGAUGUUGGCUUAGAAGCAGCCAUCAUUUAAAGAGUGCGUAAUAGCUCACUAGUCGAGUGACACUGCGCCGA
rnacentral:rRNA from 1 species